AAACAUACAACGGCAAAGGGCUUCUCUCCUUGAAAUCACAACAGCCUUGUCUCUGAAUGAUGGUUGAUCAUCUUCCAUCUACCACUAAAGAAGCUCAAAGAAAAGAGAAGGUGGGAAUGGAAGGCAGAAAAUAGUGUACAACAGUCACAUUUCCUCUUAAAUUCUUGUCACCAUUUAACAAAUGAGAUCAGAAGUUGCCCUGUUUACCCCCUUCCCCAAAGUCAUCCCUUGGUAAGAGAAAAUAAAAAAAGCAAUAAUAUAGUUAGUGAUUGGCAAGGAACAGUAAGUAGUUUCUGUGGUUAGGCCAACGGCAGAAUGCAGCAUUUCCUUUGAAAAUCCCACAGAAGCACACAGGGCAGGGACUGCAUAAUUGCUGAGCAUUCUAUCUUCCCAAGAGUACAUUUCUUACAUGGGUGACCGUACAAAACACUAAAACCUCAUUAUGUAUCUAGACACUCACUGCUUUAAAAUUCUUUAGCGGCUACCCACCAUUUUUAAGAUGGUGCCCUAACCACUCUGAAUGACAUAUAAGAUACUUCACAACCUGGUCCUUGCCCACGUCUUCAGUCUCAUAUCUUGACACCCAUUCCCAUAGUUGCACUGCAAUUAAUGACUAUAGCUCCUACAUGGAAUGUGUUCCCAAGUCCCUUUGCCUUUGCUUAAUUCAGCCAGUGAAUAUUUCUUGGGCACCUACUAUAUGCCAGGCACUGUGCCAUGAUCUAGGAAUAAAUAAUGAAUAAGGCAACAUGACCCAAGGCCUUGUGUGAUUGAUGGCCUACUGAUGAUAACAAAUAAAAAUUACAACCCCUCCCUACAAGAAAGAAAAAAAAGCCAAGUAAAUAAACAAAAAUAAUUACUAAUUGUGAUACAUGCUAGGAAAAGGGAAAACAAAAAGUAGAACAUUGAGAUAGAGACUAAAGGGGGCAGGGGCUUCUUUAGUGUCCAAGAGAGCCUCUCUGACAAGGUGGCAUUUUAGCUGAGACACAAAGGUUGAUUCUUCCAGGUGAGUAUUGGAGGUAAAGAGCAUCCAGACAGAAGGAACAUGCACAAGUUCGAAGGUAAGAAAGACCUCAAGUUUAAGGAAUUGAAUAAAGGCCAGUGUAGCUGGAGUAUAGUCAGGUGGGGAAACAGUACGAGGGGAAGAUGAAGGGGUAGCCCCACGUCAAAUCAUGCAGUCACCUUGUAGCUCGUAGGAAGGAAGUUUAUUCUAAGUGCAGUUAGAAACUGUUGAUUGUUUUUAAGCAAAGGGGUAACAUGAUUCAAUGUACAUUUUUAAAAGAUUGCUCUGAAAAAGAAAAGGGAUGAUAGUGGAAUGAAUUUAAGAGAUAUAUGGGAUAGAAUUAAUAAUGCAAUGAUGUUCUCUCUGUGCUUGUUCUUCCCAUCUUUCUAACUAAUUUCUAAUUUCUUACAGGCUCAACCCAAGCAUCAUCUCCCCUACAAAGCAUCUGGAAGGCCCUUAAAUCCCCACAGGGUUUGAGAACAAUCUGCUGUUCUCUAAGCAGCUUGUAAUAUGCCUCCACAAUGUGACAUACCAUAAUAUUCACUUCCUUGGC